rnacentral:rRNA from 1 species
UACAUGGGGUGCAAACGUUGCUCGGAAUUAUUGGGCGUAAAGCGCACGUAGGCGGUUUGUUAAGUCGGAUGUGAAAUCCCUCGGCUCAACUGAGGAAGUGCAUCCGAAACUGGCAAGCUUGAGUACGAAAGAGGGUCGCGGAAUUCCCGGUGUAGAGGUGAAAUUCGUAGAUAUCGGGAGGAACACCGGUGGCGAAGGCGGCGACCUGGGUAGAUACUGACGCUGAGGUGCGAAAGCGUGGGGAGCAAACAGG